UUUCCCCUGAACUUUUAAAUGCUUUCAGAAGCGCUGCCUUGUAGCCUUAGACAAUGCCACUGACCCUUUUACAAGUCACUGUACACACUGAAGAGUGAAACUUUAUACACAGUUAAAAUGAAGCUUUUUGGCCAGGUUUUGACAGCUGUUAUUCUAAAACAAUGUUUUGGCUCUGAUCAAAAAUAUGACUUUAUUUCCUUUUGGGUUUCUACCAGAAGCCAUAUGACUCUUAGAUAGAUGUGGAGGAGGGGUGAGAGCAAGAAACUCUUUCAGCUGCUUUCCCAGUAAAGCUCGGACUGUGCAAAAGGAAAUGACAAAGAAAUUGAAUUUAUCUAGGACACUGGUAUAUGAUCGGUAGUCCCUAAUUUACUAUUUGAAAAGAGGUGAAAAUCAUGCACUGCACAUUUAUUACUAAAGGUGAGAUCCUGAACUGUAAAACUAGGAGAUAAGACUGCACUUUGAUUUUCUGCUCUUCUCUGAAAAAUGUAUUCAUGUGCACAGUAGUGUUUAUAUUGUUUUAAAAGAUGGCAUUUGAAUCACCUGUGGGCUCAUGAAAGUCCCAGGUGGAUCUAAGGCAGGUGGGGGGCAAUCUUUGCCCUUAUAAAUGUUAUAUUGCUAGCUUAUAUUACUAACUUACCUUAGUGGGGCCCCAGCUUGGCUUUUGACCACAGGCAAUUGCUGCGGUUCCUUUUGCUAAAAACUGUUCUAGUUAGAAAUCCUAUCAGGGAAUUUGAGAGGUGGUCCAAGCACGUCCAUGCUGAGAGGGCUGAGCCAAUGCUUCCUGAAUCUUUAAGAGCUCUGAAAGGCAGCAGCAGCAGCAGUGGGAGCAUGCAUGUCCAAAAGGUGAGACGAGCUGAGAGGCCUCUGAACACUCACCAGCUUUCACCAGAAAACCAUUACUGGCUGCAGCAGGUGGUAGCUUGGAAGUAGAUAAAUUAUUUCUCUGAGAAUUAAAAUGAAGUAGUUAAGUACAGUGUUGGUUGGGAUUUACAGAGGUGUGGGGAAAUGAAGUUUAGUACCUUUUGAGGUAUAACCUGCACUAGGCAAGACAGAUUCAAAAUUCCCUUCAAAGGCCAUUUUAAGGAUUGAGCAAAAACUUUCAGUUUUGGCUUGAGUCUGAACUCUGAUCUUUUUGAGAACUGUCGCUACCAAGCUUUGUCAGGAUUGUAACUGCUUCACUACCUAGAUGAAUUCUGACCCCAAAUACUGCUGAAGGGAGUAAUGCUACGUGAGCACUAACUUUUGCACAUUCUUCUUUCACUUAAACAUGUCAGUCUUUAAAUUAUCCACUUUUGUGAUGAGCAAAUAAAUUCCGGAUAUAGAACAUGGAAUAUGUGUAAACACACAUCCUUAGAAAAUGUAAUAGAACAAAUAAAUAAACCAUUGGUUUCUCUGCAGUAGGUUGCCAGCAGGGCAUCCUUUUUAAAAACAGUGUCCAUGUAUGUUGUUUGAUAUGUAUGUGUAUGUCAAUAUAUGGAUUUAUAACUUGAAAACUGGAUUUUAGGAGAAGUUAUCUUUUUCAAGUCAUAACAAAAGUGAAGAAUUGAAAACCAUAGGCAGAGGGGAUGCAUGUGACAGCUGUUAAAAACAUUUACCUGCAUGGAUUAUAUGAGCUAAUUAGCAUUGCCAAGGUCAUGAUGAGUACUUGAAUAACUGUUUAUCCCUAAAGGUGGUUUGUGUGACUGAGCAGAUGUGCAUCAUAUUCAAAGAAAAGCAUACUAAUUUAUAAAUUUUGAAAGAGUAAAAUAGGUAUGCAAUUUCACUGAAAUUCAAGCAUAAUUCAAAAUCCAUGAACAAUUUUUCUUUCAUCUUCUCAGUGGAGCCUGUUAAUAUUCUGGAAAAAAAAAAAUCUUAUGAACCUAAAGCUUCAAUGGUUUAAAAUAUCCUGCAGUAUUAGGAUGUUUUCUGUUUAGUUCUUUGCCUCUUAAACUUACAGAAAACUAAAUACAUAAAUUAAAGCAAUGAAAAUACAUCCAAUUUAUCCACUUAAUAUAUACCAAACCAAUUAACCAAUAUAUUUUAUGAAAGAAUAGAUAAUAAAAAUAUUAUAAAGGAAAUCAAGAUAAUUUUUCACCUAGAUUUUCAUGUGUUCUUUGCAUGCCAGAAAGCCAAUGGUAUGUCUAUACUUUCAAAUAUGGCUUUAGGAGCAAAUAUUCUUAAAUCUUUAUCUUCUUUCCACAGAAGUCAUGUAUUACAGAUAACAUGUCCCUCCACAUAUACGCGCAUGUAACCUAGGAUCUAAUUUUUACAUAACAUGUAGGUAAAUUUAUCUUUUUAUUGCUUUAAUAAGUUGGAGACCAAGAGCAUAGUUGCACAUGAGUGAGGGAAGUUUUAUUCUAAGUUUACAAACUGAAAGAUUUAGGCAAAUAUAUGUAUAUCCAUUUUUGUAAGUUGAGAAUAAUAGUUCAUGUUUAUGUAACUACCUGUAAAUAAAUGAUAUUCUAUUUCCAUUAUUUUUGCAAAAACUGAAAAUUAUGAUGCUAUCCAGGCCUGACAUCUAUGUAAUUCAGUACUUUAACUCCAAUGGUAGAAACUUCAUGACAGUCAUGAGAAAAAGUUGCUGAAAACUCCAUGUAACUUAUUACAUAAGUUAAAUUCCACUCUUAUCUCUGUUACUCAUUGCAACAAUUAAACAAAUAAAAAUGUAAUUAAAGGCACAAAAUACAACUUUGCUCCUAAACAUAAUCAGAUUUUAACAGUUUUUCCUGCUAGUCCUGUGAACUGAUAAACUCUUGUAUUCUUGACUUUCUUUGUAAAAAAAUGUCUGAGUUUUCUCUCUGUUCUUUUAAGACAAUAUUAAUUAUUUUCACUAGAUAUUACAGCAAUCUAAACCAGCUAUAUUCUUCACAUAUUUCAGUUAAAAAAUAAUAAUAAAAUAAAGUAGAUAUGUAUUUCUGUUCUCUUCAAGCUAUUUUGUAACUAUUGUGAUAGCAGAGAUCAUAAUGAAAUUUCUCUUAAUAAUGUAAUUACAGUAUCAUGACUUUAUUUUAAGAUACCUGGAGCAUUUUAUAAAAUUCUUGAACAGGAAAGAAUUGUUAAAACAGUUAUUCUAAAAAAAAAAAAUGUUGAAAACCUUACAGUUUCGUAAACACAUUAUUCAUCCUGCAAAGAUUACUUUGGUUUUUUUUCAAAAUAUCUAAGAUAAUAGGAGCCUGUGGCACUGGUUGAACAGUACAGGUAGAGUUACUUCUGCCUUUUUUAAAAUUGACCUUUAAGAUGUGGAGGUCAAAACACUGUCCUAAGGAGACAGGAGUGAUUCAGUGUUCUGUCCUAAGUCUAUUUAUCCAUACAGUAUGUAGAAAUUGGGGAAUUAAUGACAUAGAUCUAUGACCUGUAUCUAUAUUCAGGUUACAGAGCACUUUUGGCAUAGGAGGAAGGGAAAAAAAAAGAAAAAAAAAUACAUUGGUCUUUCUUUUAAUUAUGUAUUUGUACUCUGUCAAGUCUGAAAUGAGAAACAACAUUUUGAGGUAAAUGACAGAAACAUUUGAUUUCCUGGCAAAUCUAUCUGCCAACAUACCUUGAAAAUGAGCCUUGUGUGGAUUCUAGAGUAACACUGAGUCUAUCAUCCUCCUGAAGAGAGGCUGCUGAUGCCAUUCCAAAAGUUUAUCAAACAUUUCCUUAAAUAUAUAUGUUAGGUGAUAUUAUUAAAUGUUAACCACAAUGAAUGCAGAGGAUAAGGGGAGCAACGUGAGAAGGAGCAUGGAGGGCCCAGUGAUGUCUACACAACAGAUACCACACCUUGACAUGUUCACUCCUAGGACUCAAAGGAGAAUGAUGACUAUUGCCCUGGUGGGAAAGCCACAGACAGGAGUCAAGGGAACACCAUGCAGACUAAAGAGGCAUUUUCUGUGUGGAUGCACUCUCUAUUCUGGACAUGUGUGAAUAUUAACAAACUAUAAGUGAUACAAGCUGGUGUAGGACAAGGUGAAUGUCAGCAACUGAAGUGGGUCUUCAAGGGCUCAUAGGUUCAUGGGCCAACAACUAAACAGAAUAGACAACCAAGGCCUGCUGCUGAAAAUAUUCAUCUAUUUGCAUACAUAGUCUAUUAUUAAGAACUUCAGUCUUGAUCAACAGAGAAUAGGAUGGUGCCAUUUCCACUCUUCAGUUUUGUGUGAUGGCUGCUGAUGUCUUUGUGUGUAUGUGUGUGCACUUACUGAGAAUACCAGCCCUAGUUCAGGAACCUGAACUUCAGCUUCACAUCUGUGGAUCCAGGACAGGACAGGAAGGAUCUUCUUGAGCCUCAGUCCCAUGGGAUUUAGUUAUCUCUAACCAAUGGUAAAGAUGCAACCUCCGGGCAUUCUGUUACUGGCCUUAAGUGUCUCUUAUCUGAGAGACUUGUCUUUAUUCAUUUAUAUAUACAGUUGAAGAUGGCUAUUCCUUAUUCUGUCCACUAUGGACAUGAGUACAGAUCAUUCCUGUUCUGAUCCUACUUUCAUCUGGCAGGGAACAUCGAGUGGAGACAGGCCAUUCUGGAUACCAAUGUGAUUUAUGUAAAUACACAAAGACUGUAGUAGUUAACUGAAAUGAUCCAUAAUGCUCUCCAGAAUUCUGUUGUAAAUUUUAUGAUAUUUAAUGUUUUCCAAUGCACUCUCAGCUUCACAUUGUGUAAAUCUGAUAGACUUAGACCUUGUUAUUUCAACUAUUACUAAAUACGUUGAACAGGCCUGGACUGAGGACCAAGUGAAACUCCAUCUGUUACAUCUGUCCAUUCUGGUAGUCAGUCAUUCCCAGAUGCUCUUCAGGUUCGCAUAUCCAGAAAGGUUUUCCACAGCAGCCAUUUCAUCCAGAUCAGAGAUCUCUGACUUGACUAUCAGAAAGAUACCUGAGAGAAUAUCAAAAACCCUAUUAAAGUGAAGAUGUAUGACACUGCUGCUUCUCCUUUCCUGCCUCUGUCCCCUUACAUUCUCAUGGAGAGAAGUUAGAUUAAUUUGAGAAAAUAUGUUUUUGACAAAUCUGAGUUGGCUACUAUACAACUCCUUUUUGUUAUGUUAACAGCUGUUACACUACAUAUGACCCCAGGUCGGGGAGAUCUUUUAUAAGCCAAUCAGCCCGACAGGACUGGGAGGAACAGCUCUGCAAUUCGGUCUGCAAUUUGACUAGCACCUUCAUACACUUCAUCAAAGAGUGUCUGGUGUAGCAUCCAAAUCACUCUAUAAGUGAGGCAUACAUUAAUGAAGUAUUUUACAUAUGUGUUGCAACUGCAGGAAAAUAACACUUUGGUUAAGAAGCAGAGAUCUGUAUGAAAGUGAACAUGUGGUAACAUUGGAUUGCUUCUAAAUCAAUAAAAAAAAAAAUCCCACAUAAGAGUGUAAUGUUGCAAUAGCAGCAGUUACUGAUGCUUAGGAUCAUUAGAUUUUAAUCAGCUUUCUGGCAAACAUCCUGAUUAAGUGUAUCAUUUAAUUAAAUGAAUUCCAGUCACAAUUUUUUUUAUUGCAAGUUUGCAGAGUACCUCUUAAUUUCUCUAUCGUUUCUGCUAUCAUUUUAAAAUCUCCCCCAGUAAUUGUAUGUUUCAAUUCUGAAAAAUGGUUCUAGCAUGCAAUUUAUUAGAAAGAUGUAAAAAUAAAUUGUAAUUGAAAUCUGCUACUGCAGAGGAAGGCUUCUAUAAUUUACUUGCUGAAUGAGGCCUAGGAAACACAGAUUUAAUUCUUCCCUCCACUACCAACUUUCUCAUAUAAUUAAUGCAAAUGAGCUGUCAGGGCCUCAAGUUACUGUGAUUUACUAUAUUCAGAAAGCUUCAUGCUAAUGGAAGGUUAGUACCAUAUGCUUACGAUGACUGAGGAAAGAAAGGUAAACUUGUUUGUGGAAAGUAUUUUGCCUAGGGUAGACAGAUGUAUACUUCCUGCAGGGCUGUGUUUUGUUCAGUCUCACUAUGUCCCAAUGUCUAACAAAGUUACUGAAAAAGAUGGAGCUGAGGAUGUGCUGACAAAUGUAAUUGUUGUUUGCCAUUCAUUUUCUCUGGAACAAAAAGUAAGAAGCAGGCUAAUUGGUUCAACAUGAAUUCUCAUUCUUUAUGUGAAGGAUUUUGAGGUUACUCUUUCUUGAUUGGCAUUAUUAUUCUUUGAUUUUUUUUUAAUUUUAUUUAUUUAUUUAUUUGUUUGUUUGCUAGGACAGUGGUAUAACACAAUCACUGACAACUGGUGUUCAAAUUUCAUCUAGCUUCAUUAACUUUUGUGGGAAAUUGCAGUUGAUGAUGUAAUGCAAAGUUAUUCUACUUCACUCCAGCAUUCAGAGGCAAACAUAUUGGCACUAUAGGUAAAGAAAUUCACACACAAGGUUGUUCUCACAGCUUGAUCUCUCACAACUUUGAAAAUAAAAAUAAUGGAAGAGGAGAAAGAAAAAGUAUUUAUGUUUAAGCAUUUCUUACAUGUACUAAACAAUUUGAUUAUUUUUUUCUCAAUUUCUCAUGAAAAAGAUGGACAUUGUUUAUUCAGUUUUUAGUAAUAACUAUUUUCCACAAAGUUUAAGUUUCGUCAUGAAAGCAAAAAUCAACUCCUGGCUAACAGUUUUCUAGCUAUGAAAUUAAAGUUUCCACAUUUAAGGAGGUUUUAUUGAAGUUAUGGGACAUAGGGAAAGAAUUAAAAAAUUAUGUUCUGAUUACACUAAUAUGUUCAGUGGGCAUACCCAAAUCUUCCUCUUGAACAGAUUCACUAAAAAAUGUUCUGCCUAGAUCUGAAAGAACUGAGAAACAUAAACAAGUAUUGAAAGAAGCAAAUGAGUUCUGGUCAUGAUCGAUGCAGUCUGAAGAAUUCAUCAAACUAUCCCAAGACUUAAAUCAGCUGAAACUUGAGAAAACUACAAAUAAAUGUUUAUCUGAUGAACUGUUUACUGUGAAAUACUUUUGUACUUGAAACUCACUUCUAGAUCUCUUCAUCUGCUAAUACUUCAGCUGUUUGUCUUUCUUCUUUUAUUGUUUGUCUCUCCAAGUCAAGUCAACAUGUUGUUUAUAUCUGCUGACAGUCUCUCUGUCAGGUGUACACUUAAUUCCUCCAGAAUCUGCUUUUAUCUUUUACACAAAACACAACUGCUCUUAUUACAGCCUCUACUGGCUGUUAGCCAGAUCUUAGAACCAAUAUUUCUCCCUCAUCUUCUUUGACCUGUUCAUCUUGCUUCUCUGCUCAUCCUCCCCUGUGACUCAUUUCUCUGUAACUUCAUCUUAAUAGAGAUGAUUCACACAUGUGUACUCUAGACCUAUCUGCUUCUCUCUAGGCUAAGACCUACCCAAGAAGAUAGCUAAAAUAUUUUCAUCAUCUCUCUCCCCACACCUUCCUUUGAUAUUUACACUGCUAUUUUUUUUCUAAUCCUCUCCUUUGCAACUAAGAUCCUUCUGGAGGUCUUUUUGCCUAGAUUUGUCUAAAUAUUACAGUGACUAUCAGAAAAAUAUGUCUAAGAUCUUUGCUGUCUAAAUUUUCAACAAAAGAAUCCAACUCUUUCAGAUACAAACCAUUCUGCAUAACUUCUUCUCCUUUGAUUAGUAUUACCGGUCAUAUCCAUUCUGAAAGCUGCAGUAAAAUACUUCCUGCUGAGACGUCACAUAGUUCGGUGUAUUCCUCCCCUUUCUCACUUUUCUCUCUUAUAAUAAAAUAAAAUCUGCUUGUCGUCACCACAGAAGCUCCUACCAACAACUCCACAGAACCCUUAAUAUUUUUUAUUUAAGACUCUGGUGCCAGAUCUGCACUCUGUCUAAUCCUUCCAAAGUGUUUGUUGCUCAGAAACUGGCUGAGCAUCAGUUCAUUGCUGGGAGGUUUUGCUUUUGCAUCACUUGUUCUUCCAUUUAUUUAUUUAUUUAUUUAUUUAUUUAUUUCAUGUGUUGAAGAGUCUUCAUCACAACCCACAAUUUUUUCUCACUUUUGCUCUUCCAAUUUUUCUCCCCACAUCCCAUUGUGGAGGAAUGACUGGUGGGGGCUUAGUUGCUUGCCAGGGUCAACCUACCACAUGUGAAGAAGAAAGCUGAGUGUUUCCCUAAUGCAGGCCUAUUAGGAUUCCUGCAACUUUCAGCUGUUUGAUGUCAGCAGUGUAUUUCCAACUAGGAAAACCUGACAUAAUUUGAACUAGCUUGUAGUGUAAGCUUGAGUAUUCCAAACACUAGUUGUGAAAAGCUUUUCUCACUUUUAGUUUCAAAUUCUCAGAUAUUAGAGCUUCACAUUUCAGUACCUGCUAUUCCAGAUGCUCAGAAUGAACCAGUGACCUAUUUGGAGCAUACUGGAGGGCUAACCACAUCCCUGCUUCAUCCUUUUUAUUUUAUUUUAUUUUAUUUUAUUUUAUUUUAUUUUAUUUUAUUUUAUUUUAUUUUAUUUUAUUUUAUUUUUCUUCUUAUUUUGAAAAGCCUCCUGUGGUGGUAGAAACAAGUAGCAGAAAGUAAAACUAUGUUGUAAAAACUACUGUUGUUUUCCAUCUUCACCUAAAUGUUAAUGUCACAGAAGUAGUAAAGCAGACACUUCCAAAAUUAUGCACAUUUACCCAACAUUAAAUGAAAAAAAUCUGUUGAUAUUUGAGCUGGUUCAAACACACUGAAGUUCAUCAUGGGUGACUGGUUUUUCUACAUUCCUGUUUUCCAACACUGAGAUAUAUGCUUGCCAUAAAAAGCAUAAAAAUAAUAGAAAUAGCAGAAUGAGAAAAUAACUUGUAGCACGUAAAGUGUCUGAACUAUCAAGUUGGUUAACCACAUGAAGGGUUUAACUUACAUCUUCUGUACACUAUUAUCAAGACAAAAAUCAGAGCAGAAAUGAACUGGGUUUAAACCAGUCAGUAAGUUAAAUUUUACCACAUGUACAGCAAAUAAUUUCUGGCAGGUGGCAGGUACUGGAAAAUAAAAUAUUAAUCAUUUUGGCCAAAUGAGUUUGCCAAGUAAUUGCCAAACUGUGUGGCCUCAACUGUCAGGAGCAGCUUUUCAAGCAAUAAACACACUAAGAUAAUAAUUUAAUAACAAAACAAAAUGAAUCCAUGUUUUACAGGCAGUUGUCCAAAAGACAACUCCAGCAGUAGAAUUAAUAACACUGUCAUGACUGGUUGCAAGUACACAAGCAAGUCCUAUCAAAUGCUAUUGAAUUAUCCAGGUAAAGAAGAAUAAUGCAAAUUUUAUAUCAGCUUUUGAGUGAAGUGUUACAAUAAAAUAAAUGAAUGUAACAGAUUACAAUGUACAAAAGGCUUACUUAACUUUAUUUUGUAAGAUAGUAAUCAUAAUCACACUAUAACACAAGCUACUGCCAUCAUACAAAUAUAAGCUUAAUACACUCUAUGAUAUAACUAAAUAAGUGUGUCAGUAUUUUACUUUUGUUUCCAAAAUAUUGGUACAGGAAAUUUCAGGAGCUGAUUUGUGUAGCAUCUUAGCAAAUUUGAGUUUUAUGUAUGUGGGGAACUAGCUUUCCUAGUCAUAAAAAUCUUCCCUUAAGAUUGAACGUAAGUUAUCAUUUUUUCUGUCAGUGACAAUUUUAGUGAUUUUGUUGAAGAUACUUCCAGAAAGGAAGCUCUGGACUUUGUUACAGCCACAUCAGUUAUGUCAACUCAAAGGCAAUUUCUGGGCCAAUUUCUUGAGUAAGGUCUGUCUGCUUACAUGAUUUAUGCAGCAAGUGCUUAUUCCAGGAUGAGAAAGGAGAGUAAAUAUGGAAGAAAAAAAGCCCACAAAGAUAAGUUUAUACGUUCUGACACAGAAAACUCUUCUGCUAUCUCAAAACUUGGAGUCUGACUUUGUCUUCAUUGCAAUCAUUUUUACAAACUUCUGGCUAUAAAGAUUUCCUUUGUGGGAGAAAUGUCAUGAUUACAAAGAAAUCCAAAUCAGUCCAAGAUCAUUUUGCCAAUUGUUUUGCUAUGCAGACAAAAUAGAAAUCUCGUGAAUCUCAGCAAUAUCUUUAAGGUGGAAAAUUCUCGGCUGGAUCAAGGUCAUAAUUCUAUGAACUCUGCUUUGGGGGCUGUUAAUUAAAAAGUCUUUGGCUAAAACCACAUUGAGAGGAAGAACUGGAAUCCAGGACUCAUCCUUCUAGCAGAGUGUGCUUAUUUGCAGAUGCCAGAGUCUGCAGUCUGUGUUCUUCACUAGGCCACCAAAUAUGUCCAGCCUUUAGCAGGAAGACGGAACAAAAUAUCCAAUACAGAGGUUAAUUUCAUCCACUUCUGACAAGACUUUCCUGUUCAGAAAAGAAGGAUUAAUAAACCACAGUCACUCACUGUCUAACCACUAGUCUGAUAGAGAAAAGGCUGGGUCCCACUGGAAUCUGAGUUCAAAAUGUGUAGAAGAUGACAGAGUGUACAUGAGUUUCUCAGCUUAUAGUCAUGAAGCAAACACAGACCUGGACAGUGGGAUAGUUUAUUUUCGGUGAGGAGAAACUGACAAAAGCUGCUCUACCGCUCUAAUGUUCCAGAGUCUAGAUCCCUCAACAGUCCAACCAGCAUCCUUGCUUGACAGAGAUGGGUGAGCAGUCACUCCUUGGCUGCAUUUCUAGGCUGGAUUGAGGCAGCAGGGAGAUGACUGUGCAGUGGGGAUACAGCCGAUGCUGGUUCUCGGGUACUUCCUGCCCAGCAGUGGGAGGAAGAUGAAAG
rnacentral:lncRNA from 1 species